GAGGACCGUUAGGUUGUUGCUAUUGCUGACGGAAAGUUCAUUAAGUGGAAAAUUGAUUCAGUUCUCUGCACAUUCAUUGAAGAAGCUCCUGGGGGGCUCCAGAAGAUUGGGAAGCUGAUUCAAUGAGGAUCAAGUUAUUAAGAAGUAUGAGGAAAGAAGCAGACUGUCCUGCAGUUAGCAGAUUGGUCCAGACACCCUCACAACUCUCAUGGACACUACCCCUGUUGGGAUGAUCAACCUCUAACAUUUUCCUGUACUUAAUUUAAGCCUCCGGUUUCCAAGUCCCAGAAGCAAGCCUCCAGCUGGUCAAAUUUAAGUCACCUGCCAACACCUAACUGUUGAAUCAGGAGAGAUAAUUUCUUUCCUUUGGCUUCCUCAUAAAAGACAGCCUCCAAGAAUUUUUCUGCCCUGAUACUUAAAAUAAUAGUAAAGGGUUACUGUUGGGGUGCUACCAGGGAGAGGGAAUUAAGCUGGGAAGACCAAAAAUGAAAAAUGGGCAAAAAUGAUCACUAAACUACUUCAAAAUUGAAAUAACCAGCAAUGGAGGAUCAAAGAAGUAAUUAUGUUCUGUCACGUCUACCUAAUAAAAUGCAAAUGAACAAUUAAAAA